rnacentral:rRNA from 1 species
AACGAACGCUAGCGGCAGGCCUAACACAUGCAAGUCGAACGCCCUAGCAAUAGGGAGUGGCGCACGGGUGCGUAACACGUGGGAAUGUACCCCAGGGUAAGGAAUAAUGUCUGGAAACGGACACUAAUACCUUGUAAUGACUUUGGUCCAAAGCUUUAUCGCCCUGGGAUCAGCCCGCGUCUGAUUAGCUAGUUGGUGAGGUAAUGGCUCACAAAGGCAACGAUCAGUAGCUGGUCUGAGAGGAUGAUCAGCCACACUGGAACAGAGACACGGUCCAGACUCCUACGGGAGGCAGCAGUGAGGAAUAUUGCACAAUGGAGGAAACUCUGAUGCAGCCAUGCCGCGUGAGUGAAGAAGGCCUUCGGGUUGUAAAGCUCUUUUAGUCUUGAAGGUAAUGACGGUAGCGACAGAAAAAGCCCCGGCUAAAUUCGUGCCAGCCGCCGCCGUAA